UACGAAGGGGGCUAGCGUUGCUCGGAAUCAUUGGGCGUAAAGGGUGCGUAGGCGGCGCGGUAAGUCGGGUGUGAAAUCUCGGGGCUUAACUCCGAAACUGCAUUCGAUACUGCCGUGCUUGAGUUCGGGAGAGGUGAGUGGAACUGCGAGUGUAGAGGUGAAAUUCGUAGAUAUUCGCAAGAACACCAGUGGCGAAGGCGGCUCACUGGCCCGAUACUGACGCUGAGGCACGAAAGCGUGGGGAGCAAACAGGG
rnacentral:rRNA from 1 species